rnacentral:rRNA from 1 species
GUUGUAUGGUUAAGUGACUAAGCGUACACGGUGGAUGCCUUGGCAGUCAGAGGCGAUGAAAGACGUAGUAACUUGCGAUAAGCCCAGAUUAGGUAGUAACAACCAUUUGAGUCUGGGAUUUCUGAAUGGGGAAACCCACGUGCAUAAGCACGUAUCCUUACCUGAAUACAUAGGGUAAGGAGGCGAACCGGGGGAACUGAAACAUCUAAGUACCCCGAGGAAAAGAAAUCAACCGAGAUUCCGAAAGUAGCGGCGAGCGAAAUUGGACUAGCCCUUAAGCUUUACACGCGUUAGACGAACGGUCUGGAAAGUCCGACGAUACAGGGUGAUAGUCCCGUAGUUGACGACGUGUGUUCAGUGAAAUCGAGUAGGGCGGGACACGUGAUAUCCUGUCUGAAUAUGGGGGGACCAUCCUCCAAGGCUAAAUACUACUGACUGACCGAUAGUGAACCAGUACCGUGAGGGAAAGGCGAAAAGAACCCCUGUGAGGGGAGUGAAAUAGAACCUGAAACCGUGUACGUACAAGCAGUAGGAGCAGGCUUUGUCCUGUGACUGCGUACCUUUUGUAUAAUGGGUCAGCGACUUAUAUUCAGUGGCAAGGUUAACCAUCUAGGGGAGCCGUAGGGAAACCGAGUCUUAACUGGGCGUUCAGUCUCUGGAUAUAGACCCGAAACCAGGUGAUCUAGCCAUGGGCAGGUUGAAGGUUGAGUAACAUCAACUGGAGGACCGAACCGACUAAUGUUGAAAAAUUAGCGGAUGACUUGUGGCUAGGGGUGAAAGGCCAAUCAAACCUGGAGAUAGCUGGUUCUCCCCGAAAGCUAUUUAGGUAGCGCCUCGGACGAAUACUACUGGGGGUAGAGCACUGUUAAGGCUAGGGGGUCAUCCCGACUUACCAACCCUUUGCAAACUCCGAAUACCAGUAAGUACUAUCCGGGAGACACACGGCGGGUGCUAACGUCCGUCGUGGAGAGGGAAACAACCCAGACCGCCAGCUAAGGUCCCAAAUUACUACUAAGUGGGAAACGAUGUGGGAAGGCUCAGACAGCCAGGAUGUUGGCUUAGAAGCAGCCAUCAUUUAAAGAAAGCGUAAUAGCUCACUGGUCGAGUCGGCCUGCGCGGAAGAUGUAACGGGGCUAAGUAGUAAACCGAAGCUGCGGCAAUAUACUUUUGUAUAUUGGGUAGGGGAGCGUUCUGUAAGCGGUUGAAGGUGUGUGGUAACGCAUGCUGGACGUAUCAGAAGUGCGAAUGCUGACAUGAGUAACGAUAAAGGGGGUGAAAAACC